UUACGGCCAUAUCUCGUUGAAACAUCCGUUCUCUACCGAUCACUGAAGUUAAGCAACAUCGAGCCUGGGCAGUACCUAGAUGGGUGACUGUUUGGGAAUACCAGGUGCCGUAU